UGGGGAAUUUUGGACAAUGGGGGAAACCCUGAUCCAGCCAUCCCGCGUGUGCGAUGAAGGCCUUCGGGUUGUAAAGCACUUUUGGCAGGAAAGAAACGUCAUGGGUUAAUACCCCGUGAAACUGACGGUGCCUGCAGAAUAAGCACCGGCUAACUACGUGCCAGCAGCCGCGGUAAUACGUAGGGUGCAAGCGUUAAUUGGAAUUACUGGGCGUAAAGCGUGCGCAGGCGGUUCGGAAAGAAAGAUGUGAAAUCCCAGAGCUCAACUUUGGAACUGCAUUUUUAACUACCGGGCUAGAGUGUGUCAGAGGGAGGUGGAAUUCCGCGUGUAGCAGUGAAAUGCGUAGAUAUGCGGAGGAACACCGAUGGCGAAGGCAGCCUCCUGGGAUAACACUGACGCUCAUGCACGAAAGCGUGGGGAGCAAACAGG
rnacentral:rRNA from 1 species